rnacentral:rRNA from 1 species
AUUGAACGCUGGCGGCAGGCCUAACACAUGCAAGUUGAACGAGUGGCGGACGGGUGAGUAAUGUCUGGGAAACUGCCCGAUGGAGGGGGAUAACUACUGGAAACGGUAGCUAAUACCGCAUACCAUCGGAUGUGCCCAGAUGGGAUUAGCUUGUAGGUGAGGUAACGGCUCACCUAGGCGACGAUCCCUAGCUGGUCUGAGAGGAUGACCAGCUACACUGGAACGGAAACACGGGCCAGACGCCUAUGGGAGGCCGCAUUGGGGAAUAUGGCACUAUGGGCGCAAUCCUGAUGCUGCUAUGCCGGGGGUAUGAAGAAGGCCUGCUGUGUGUCAAUUACUUUCAGCGGGGAGGCGUUACCCACAGAAGUAGCGCCGGCUAACUCCGGGCCAGCAGCCGCUGUAAUAC